rnacentral:SRP_RNA from 1 species
GCGGGGCGUGGUGGCUUGCCUGUGGCCCCAGCUAUUUAGGAGCCUGAAGUGGGAGGAUCGCUUGAGCCCAGCAGUUCUGGGCUGUAGUGCACUAUGCCGAUUGGGUGUCCGCACUAAGUUCCACAUCAAUAUGGUGGCCUCCCGGGAAGGGGGGACCACCAGGUUGCCUAAGGAGGGGCGAACCGGCCCAGGGCAGAAACAGAGCAGGUCAAAACUCCCAUGCUGAUCAGUAGUGGGAUCGCUCCUGUGAAUAGCCACUGUAUUCCAGCCUGGGCAACAUAGCGAGACCCCCAUCUCU